GACGAACGCUGGCGGCGUGCUUAACACAUGCAAGCCGAACGGAAAGGCCCUGCUUUCGUGGGGUGCUCGAGUGGCGAACGGGUGAGUAACACGUGAGUAACCUGCCCUUGACUUUGGGAUAACUUCAGGAAACUGGGGCUAAUACCGGAUAGGAGCUCCUGCUGCAUGGUGGGGGUUGGAAAGUUUCGGCGGUUGGGGAUGGACUCGCGGCUUAUCAGCUUGUUGGUGGGGUAGUGGCUUACCAAGGCUUUGACGGGUAGCCGGCCUGAGAGGGUGACCGGCCACAUUGGGACUGAGCUACGGCCCAGACCCCUACGGGAGGCAGCGGUGGGGAGUGUUGCACAAUGGGCGGACGCCUGAUGCAGCAACGCCGCGUGCGGGAUAACGGCAUUCGGGUUGUCAACCGCUUUCGCCUGUGACGAAGCGUGAUUGACGGUAAUGGGUAAAGAAGCACCGGCUAACUGCGUG
rnacentral:rRNA from 1 species